UUAAAAGCCAUGAUCAUUCUUACUUAGUUCAUGCAUUUUCGGCGAAUAGCUUUAAGAGCUUGAUUUUCUAUCACCUCUAUCUUAAAUUUACAUUGCUUAGGACCUUAUCAUCACACUAAUCUAUUAUUCUAUUAAGGCUUCAAAAUCAAUAGAAGCAACAAACACAAAACCAACCUAGCCUUCACACACAAAAGUCUUACACCCUUCCUAUUAAUGGUGUGUCUCCUCUAGUAUUCAAGUGAUAAUCAGCUAUGUUCUUGGCCUUAUUCUCCCCUAAAUCAAUCGUGGCAUAUGGUUCUCGGUUGGAUUGUCAAAACGGACUCUAGAACGAGAGAUGUGGUAGCUGCGAAUUUAGGCUAGUGUAUGCUUGGAAGGAAAGUGCC
rnacentral:lncRNA from 1 species